AAUAGAUACCCGGGUAGUCCACGCCGUAAACGAUGAAUACUAGGUGUCGGAGGGUACCACCUUCGGUGCCGCAGCAAACGCAAUAAGUAUUCCGCCUGGGGAGUACGGUCGCAAGAUUAAAACUCAAAGGAAUUGACGGGGACCCGCACAAGCAGCGGAGCAUGUGGUUUAAUUCGAAGCAACGCGAAGAACCUUACCUAGACUUGACAUCUCCUGAAUUACUCGUAACGGAGGAAGCCCUUCGGGGCAGGAAGACAGGUGGUGCAUGGUUGUCGUCAGCUCGUGUCGUGAGAUGUUGGGUUAAGUCCCGCAACGAGCGCAACCCUUAUUGUUAGUUGCUACCAUUAAGUUGAGCACUCUAACGAGACUGCCGCGGUUAACGUGGAGGAAGGCGGGGAUGACGUCAAAUCAUCAUGCCCCUUAUGUCUAGGGCUACACACGUGCUACAAUGGCCGGUACAACAAGAUGCAAUCCCGUGAGGGGGAGCUAAACUCAAAAGCCGGUCCCAGUUCGGAUUGUAGGCUGAAACUCGCCUACAUGAAGUUGGAGUUGC
rnacentral:rRNA from 1 species